rnacentral:rRNA from 1 species
CACGUAGGCACCAAGCGUUGUCCGGAUUUAUUGGGCGUAAAGAGCUCGUAGGCGGUUCGGUAAGUCGGGUGUGAAAACUUUGGGCUCAACCCAAAGCCUGCACUCGAUACUGCUGUGACUUGAGUCCGGUAGGGGAGUGGGGAAUUCCUGGUGUAGCGGUGGAAUGCGCAGAUAUCAGGAGGAACACCGGUGGCGAAGGCGGGUCUCUGGGCCGAUACUGACGCUGAGGAGCGAAAGCGUGGGGAGCGAACAGG